rnacentral:rRNA from 1 species
GGACCGCAAGGCCUUGCGUCGAUGGAGCGGCCGAUGCCGGAUUAGCUAGUUGGUGAGGUAAAGGCUCACCAAGGCGACGAUCCCGUAGCUGGUCUGAGAGGACGACCAGCCACACUGGGACUGAGACACGGCCCAGACUCCUACGGGAGGCAGCAGUGGGGAAUCUUGGACAAUGGGCGAAAGCCUGAUCCAGCAAUGCCGCGUGUGGGAAGAAGGCCUUCGGGUUGUAAACCACUUUUGGCGGGAAAGAAAUGGUCUGUGCUAAUACCACGGAUUGAUGACGGUACCCGCAGAAUAAGCACCGGCUAACUACGUG